rnacentral:rRNA from 1 species
UGAUCCGGUGCUUGCGCCGGGGAUUAGUGGCGAACGGGUGAGUAACACGUGAGUAACCUGCCCUUAACUCUGGGAUAAGCCUGGGAAACUGGGUCUAAUACCGGAUAUGACUGAUCAUCGCAUGGUGGUUGGUGGAAAGCUUUAUUGUGGUUUUGGAUGGACUCGCGGCCUAUCAGCUUGUUGGUGAGGUAAUGGCUUACCAAGGCGACGACGGGUAGCCGGCCUGAGAGGGUGACCGGCCACACUGGGACUGAGACACGGCCCAGACUCCUACGGGAGGCAGCAGUGGGGAAUAUUGCACAAUGGGCGCAAGCCUGAUGCAGCGACGCCGCGUGAGGGAUGACGGCCUUCGGGUUGUAAACCUCUUUCAGUAGGGAAGAAGCGAAAGUGACGGUACCUGCAGAAGAAGCGCCGGCUAACUACGUGCCAGCAGCCGCGGUAAUACGUAGGGCGCAAGCGUUAUCCGGAAUUAUUGGGCGUAAAGAGCUCGUAGGCGGUUUGUCGCGUCUGCCGUGAAAGUCCGGGGCUCAACUCCGGAUCUGCGGUGGGUACGGGCAGACUAGAGUGAUGUAGGGGAGACUGGAAUUCCUGGUGUAGCGGUGAAAUGCGCAGAUAUCAGGAGGAACACCGAUGGCGAAGGCAGGUCUCUGGGCAUUAACUGACGCUGAGGAGCGAAAGCAUGGGGAGCGAACAGGAUUAGAUACCCUGGUAGUCCAUGCCGUAAACGUUGGGCACUAGGUGUGGGGGACAUUCCACGUUUUCCGCGCCGUAGCUAACGCAUUAAGUGCCCCGCCUGGGGGAGUACGGCCGCAAGGCUAAAACUCAAAGGAAUUGACGGGGGCCCGCACAAGCGGCGGAGCAUGCGGAUUAAUUCGAUGCAACGCGAAGAACCUUACCAAGGCUUGACAUGAACCGGAAAGACCUGGAAACAGGUGCCCCGCUUGCGGUCGGUUUACAGGUGGUGCAUGGUUGUCGUCAGCUCGUGUCGUGAGAUGUUGGGUUAAGUCCCGCAACGAGCGCAACCCUCGUUCUAUGUUGCCAGCACGUGAUGGUGGGGACUCAUAGGAGACUGCCGGGGUCAACUCGGAGGAAGGUGGGGACGACGUCAAAUCAUCAUGCCCCUUAUGUCUUGGGCUUCACGCAUGCUACAAUGGCCGGUACAAAGGGUUGCGAUACUGUGAGGUGGAGCUAAUCCCAAAAAGCCGGUCUCAGUUCGGAUUGGGGUCUGCAACUCGACCCCAUGAAGUCGGAGUCGCUAGUAAUCGCAGAUCAGCAACGCUGCGGUGAAUACGUUCCCGGGCCUUGUACACACCGCCCGUCAAGUCACGAAAGUUGGUAACACCCGAAGCCGGUGGCCUAACCCCUUGU